AUGCCCUAUUUACGGAGGGUGUACAUUUCAACAAAAGAAAAGACAGUGCCAUGCCUAUUAAGAGCAACUCUAAAAAGCGAGAAGUGGAAGUUGAUUGACAAGGAAUCCCCAUCGAAGAGAGGUGCACUCACCAAGAUUGAUGACGAUGAAGAUGAAGACGACGAUGGCCCAAGAAACAAGAACAAGCGCGAUGAAAACAAAAAGGCCAAGGACAAGAUCAAGAAGGAAGCAGAGGCUUCAAGUUUGCGGGACAAGCUAGAUCACAUGGUCAAGUCCAAUGAGCUAUUGGUGAUCAAGACAUUGGAGGGAAAAAAGGAGUUGGCCGAGAAGAAAGCUCAAGAGAAGUAA
rnacentral:rRNA from 1 species